GGCUAACGAGCGAGACGUCUCUGGGUCCACCUCCCACCCGUGUUUAUCGUACCUUGUUGCUUCGGCGGGCCCGCCGCAAGGCCGCCGGGGGGCAUCUGCCCUCUGGCCCGCGCCCGCCGAAGACACCAUUGAACGCUGUCUGAAGAUUGCAGUCUGAGCAAUUAGUUAAAUAACUUAAAACUUUCAACAACGGAUCUCUUGGUUCCGGCAUCGAUGAAGAACGCAGCGAAAUGCGAUACGUAAUGUGAAUUGCAGAAUUCAGUGAAUCAUCGAGUCUUUGAACGCACAUUGCGCCCCCUGGUAUUCCGGGGGGCAUGCCUGUCCGAGCGUCAUUGCUGCCCUCAAGCACGGCUUGUGUGUUGGGCUCCGUCCUCCUUCCGGGGGACGGGCCCGAAAGGCAGCGGCGGCACCGCGUCCGGUCCUCGAGCGUAUGGGGCUUCGUCACCCGCUCUGCAGGCCCGGCCGGCGCUUGCCGACACAUCAAUCUUUUUUCCAGGUUGACCUCGGAUCAGGUAGGGAUACCCGCUGAACUUAAGCAUAUCAAAAGCCGGAGGAA
rnacentral:rRNA from 1 species